rnacentral:rRNA from 1 species
CGUGUAGGCGGUGCGGUAAGUUGGGCGUGAAAUCCCCGAGCUUAACUCGGGUGGGCCGUUCAAGACUGCCGUGCUAGGGUGCGGGAGAGGGAAGUGGAAUUUCCGGUUGUAGCGGUGAAAUGCGUAGAUAUCGGGAGGAACACCUGCGGCGAAGGCGGCUUCCUGGACCGUAACCGACGCUGAGGCGCGAAAGCUAGGGGAGCAAACAGGAUUAGAUACCCUGGUAGUCCUAGCCCUAAACGAUGAGCACUGGGUGUGGCCCCUCGACGAGGCCGUGCCGAAGCUAACGCAUUAAGUGCUCCGCCUGGGGAGUACGGUCGCAAGGCUGA